rnacentral:rRNA from 1 species
AUUGAACGCUGGCGGCAUGCUUUACACAUGCAAGUCGAACGGUAACAGGGAGCUUGCUCCGCUGACGAGUGGCGAACGGGUGAGUAACACGUGGGUGAUCUGCCCUGCACUUCGGGAUAAGCUUGGGAAACUGGGUCUAAUACCGGAUAGGACCACGGUCUGCAUGGAUUGUGGUGGAAAGCUUUUGCGGUGUGGGAUGGGCCCGCGGCCUAUCAGCUUGUUGGUGGGGUGAUGGCCUACCAAGGCGACGACGGGUAGCCGGCCUGAGAGGGUGUCCGGCCACACUGGGACUGAGAUACGGCCCAGACUCCUACGGGAGGCAGCAGUGGGGAAUUUUGCGCAAUGGACGAAAGUCUGACGCAGCAACGCCGCGUGGGUGAUGAAGGUCUUCGGAUUGUAAAACCCUGUCGCCAGGGACGAAGGGUGGGGCGUGAAUAGCGUUCUACUUUGACGGUACCUGGAAAGGAAGCCCCGGCUAACUCUGUGCCAGCAGCCGCGGUAAAG